AGUGAACGCUGGCGGUAGGCCUAACACAUGCAAGUCGAACGGCAGCACAGUAAGAGCUUGCUCUUACGGGUGGCGAGUGGCGGACGGGUGAGGAAUACAUCGGAAUCUACUUUUUCGUGGGGGAUAACGUAGGGAAACUUACGCUAAUACCGCAUACGACCUACGGGUGAAAGCAGGGGAUCUUCGGACCUUGCGCGAUUGAAUGAGCCGAUGUCGGAUUAGCUAGUUGGCGGGGUAAAGGCCCACCAAGGCGACGAUCCGUAGCUGGCCUGAGAGGAUGAUCAGCCACACUGGAACUGAGACACGGUCCAGACUCCUACGGGAGGCAGCAGUGGGGAAUAUUGCACAAUGGGCGCAAGCCUGAUCCAGCCAUACCGCGUGGGUGAAGAAGGCCUUCGGGUUGUAAAGCCCUUUUAUUGGGAAAGAAAAGCAGCAGGUUAAUACCCCGCUGUUCUGACGGUACCCAAAGAAUAAGCACCGGCUAACUUCGUG
rnacentral:rRNA from 1 species